UCCUAUGAAUGUGCAAAGAAAGUCGUUUCUUGAGAUGGAAUCCACUCUAGGUGAAGAUGCUGUGAA
rnacentral:pre_miRNA from 1 species